rnacentral:rRNA from 1 species
UACGAAGGGGGCUAGCGUUGCUCGGAAUUACUGGGCGUAAAGGGCGCGUAGGCUGCCAUGCUAGUCAGGUGUGAAACCCCCGGGCUCAACCUGGGAACUGCACUUGAUACGGUAUGGCUUGAGGACGAGAGAGGGUGGUGGAACUCCCAGUGUAGAGGUGAAAUUCGUAGAUAUUGGGAAGAACACCAGUGGCGAAGGCGGCCACCUGGCUCGUUCCUGACGCUGAGGCGCGAAAGCGUGGGGAGCAAAC